AGCCCAUGUGGGUUUGUUUUGAUUUUCAUUUCAACACAUGGCGUCUAAGAACAGAAAUGGAGUUUAGAUUUAAUUUUUCUUGUGAUCUUGAAGAAAAAGAUGGGACAAAUUCAAGACAACAAAAUAUUAUCACAAUUUCAUCAGAGCUCCUAUAAGUUUUGCAAUGUUGAUAUAUCUUGCUACAAGUGUGAGGAUAUAGAACAAUGGAUUGUAGAAAACAAUUCAGCAGAAGAAUCUGUAGUAAAAUCUGCUGCAGCAUCUCACUCAGAUCUUUUACCUGCUGUUUACGAAGGUGGUUUGACUGUUUGGGAAUGUGGAUGUGAUCUUGCAGAAUUCAUUUCUGGGGAAGGUAUAGACUUCAGAGGAAAAUCAGUAAUUGAACUUGGAUGUGGAGCAGGUUUGCCAGGAAUAUGUGCCAUGAAAUGUGGGGCUGAACAAGUGUACUUCCAAGACUAUAACUCUGAAGUGAUAUCUUACUUUACUAUCCCAAAUGUCCAGCUGAAUGAAACAACAUGUCAGUGCAGGUUUUUCUCUGGUGACUGGGGAGAAUUCCAAAAGUAUGCAAGGAAUCGGCCAGAUAUGAGAUUUGAUUACAUUCUGACUGCAGAAACAAUUUACAGCUCGGAAAAUUAUCCAAAACUUCACAGCCUUCUAGAAACCCUACUUAAAGCUGAUGGACAAAUAUUUUUAGCUGCUAAGUCUAAUUACUAUGGAGUUGGCGGGGGAACAAGAUUAUUUGAAGACUUUAUCACUAAGGAAGAAAAUUUCACAUACGAGUCAGUCAAAGUUAUGGAGGCUAGUGACGUCAUAAAUAGACAGCGACUGAGCAAUGAUGACUAAAAUCAAGAUUAAAGUGACAUGCAUCCUUUGUAGAAUGAUUUAUGAAGGUUUGAUUUUCAUACAACACUACUGUAUGAUGCACAGAUGUACCUAGGGAAAUUAUCAAGUUAGAGAGGAUCUAAAUAAAUCAUUACCCCAGUGUAAUGAUGGAUAAUUGCCUAUGUUUUACGGAAUCUGCAGAACAACUUCACAAACUUUAAUAUUUUUAUCAACAUUUUUUAUUUAUGGUAUGAAACAAUAAUUUUAAUAUGUUUGUGUUUGAAAUAGUCAUUUAACAAACAAUGUAAUUAAGACAAAGGUAAAUCAUG